UCCCUGGCAGUUCAAUGGCUAAAACUCUGCACUCCCAAUGCAGAGGGCCCGGGUUCGAUCCCUGGUCAGGGAG